AUAAUACCUAUAGGUUACAGAUGCUGGAAUGCUCUGUAAUCAAAAGUUCCGGCGCCCUAGGAUGGAUCUGCGGCCGAUUAGGUUGUUGUUGGGGUAAUGGCCCAACAAGCCAGUAAUCGGUACGGGUUGUGGGAGCAAGAGCCCGGAGUUGGAUUCUGAGACACGAAUCCAGGCCCUACGGGGCGCAGCAGGCGCGAAAACUUUACAAUGCGGGCAACCGUGAUAAGGGAACCUCGAGUGCCUGUAAAUGCAGGCUGUUCAGAUGCCUAAAACACAUCUGGAGAAAGGGCCGGGCAAGACCGGUGCCAGCCGCCGCGGUAAUACCGGCGGCUCGAGUGGUGGCCACUUUUAUUGGGCUUAAAGCGUUCGUAGCUGGGUUGUUAAGUCUCUUGGGAAAUCUGGCGGCUUAACCGUCAGGCGUCUAAGGGAUACUGGCAAUCUUGGAACCGGGAGAGGUGAGGGGUACUUCGGGGGUAGGAGUGAAAUUCUGUAAUCCUCGAGGGACCACCUGUGGCGAAGGCGCCUCACCAGAACGGCUUCGACAGUGAGGGACGAAAGCUGGGGGAGCAAACCGGAUUAGAUACCCGGGUAGUCCCAGCCGUAACUAUGCGCGUUAGGUGU
rnacentral:rRNA from 1 species